ACCAUCCUUUUCUUGGGGUUGCGCUACUGUCCAAUGAACAUCUAGUGAGGACAAUACUGCUAUGCCUAAAAUAGAUAGAUGA
rnacentral:snRNA from 1 species